rnacentral:lncRNA from 1 species
ACCACGCCUCGCCGAUCUUUUUGCUUUGUUUUGUUUUUAGCUGCUGUGUCCCCAACACCUGGAAGAACUGAGCUUCUGGAAUCUAAUAGAUGCUAAAUAAAUAUUUGUUGCAUGAAUGAUAGUGGUAUGAGAGGAAGAGGGAAAAAAAACGGAAAAAGGCUUCUUGGAAGAGGUGACACUUGAGGAUAUAUUUCCAAUUAAAUAUACCUAAGUGACUGCCCACCUCUGCAACCCAAUGUCACAUUCGAGUCUUACUGAACUACUUGACUGCAUUUCCCGAGAUCUCACCUCUUCUCGCCUGUACCCUGUGCGCGGAAAGUCAGCCCUCCACCUUCUCCCUGCUUCCACUCCCAAAAUACUUCGUGGUUUUGCAGCUCUGGAGUAUUUACCGUGUUGGCUGUUUAAAUUUCUGCCUCCAUCAGAAGGCAGAAACUGACUCGCGAACUAUUCCAUCCCCAGCCGAUAGUAGACGCUUAAAAAAGAACGAAAGAAGGUGGGUGGAGGACUUCAGUAACAUCAGGUGGCAGCCUCAAUUUUAUCGUUUGUGAAACGUGGAUAGUAAUCCCUCUAUCACGUGGCUGUUGCAGGAAUAAAGUGAAAAAACAAAACAGGCUAGCUUGUUCAAUAAAUGUGAGUUGAAUUAAAUCUG